CGCCGCUUCACUGCUCUUAUCUCUCUCUCUCUGGCGAUUCAGGAACACCACUUCUCAAACCCUAAUCCUAAUUGCACCACUCAUUUCCGUCACUUUAUUCAUUUCUCUUUCUCUCUCUUGAUUUCCUCUGGUUCCAUCAUAUCUUCUUCAAUAUUCAUUUCAUUUAAGGUCCUUUAGGGUUUGGGUUUGCUACGAAGUCGACUCAGAAGUUUAGAAAGAUGGAGCCAAAUGGGCUUAUGGUUAGUCGCCAAGCAAAACCGGAGAAUAUUUGAGGAAUCAAGACGAGAUUUCAUCUCGGUACCAGAUCGGUGGACGGUUCAAAGAAUCUAGGGUUUUGAUGUCAGGACCACAAGGUGAAAAACGAAGAUCAAAGUUGAUUUGAGUCCCUUAACGAUUUCAGAUCUCUAUUGACCCUCACCCUCACCCUAGAAUCAAAUCCAUUUUUACUCGACCUCCAUCAGGUAAUGAUGAUUUGGAGAGUAAAAGUGAAUAUGACUUCUCUGACCGUACUUAAAGCAAGUUGAAUUUUGCACCAGAUAAGGUGAUGCAAGUGUUGUUUAGAUGGUUGGCUGGAAAUCCUUCCCACAAAUGGGAUAUAAUGGCUCAGUAUGGUUAAUAGCAAGUCCUGCUGACCCUUGGUCUGAUGAUUAUGGAUACUCAAAAGAGAGUAUGCAGAAAAUUGGUUCUGGUGAUUGUUCCAGUGUAAAUUACUGAUUGGGUACACAUAUUUCAUCAGCAACUUUUGAUUAAUUAAGUUAAAGAACAUAAAAUUCACGGUGUUUUUUCAAUAGCUUGAAGAUUAUUUUAAGAAAAUUGUUGUAAUUUUUGUUCUAUAAGUUUGAUGAGGCCAAACUAUCAACCAGAAGGGCUUCAGAGUACAAGAUGGACUGAAGCAUGGAUGAGUGAUGACACCUCUCCUUUAUUGGUGGCUUAGUCAUAAGUGGUUGAUUUUUACUAUUUAGACCAUGAUUUUGUAAUUUUUUUUGUUAUGAAGGUUAUAUUGAAAUGUUUAGUGCAGAUAGCAAAUGUAGUUGCUUGAGGACUGGAUAUUCCAGAUGUUAUUGCAAUAAAUUACAACUUCUUGUUGAUCAUAUAGGAUAUUGUCCACAUAAUUGGAAGAAUGGGUCGUGCAAGUAAAAAGGGUGUUGCACACGCUUUCUUCAUGAAGGAGAAUAAGGCUAACGCUAGACUAGCGUUUUCUGAAGAUGUUGAAAAUGGAGAAGAAGAAGAUGGGGAUGAUAAACCAAGUGAGUUCGGGUGAAGAGGCUUUGGCAAAGAUCCCACAGUUGAAACUAGCUUUCUGCCAGACAGCAUACUCUUUCAAUGAGAGAGAGGCAGAGGAGCAAAGCUGAGCAUGAAAGGUUGCGGAAACAAUGGCUAUGUGAGCAAGAGUGCUAGGAGAGCAUGAAAAGUUAUAUUUGUAGGUUCGAAAGGGAGAUACUAUUUGCGAGUUCCUACAUGUUUUGCAGCAACUUGCAUCUGAAUUUUGACUUUAUGUUGUCCUCGUUUUACAUUCGCACACUGGUAGAGCUGUUGAGAUGCACUGGUACGAGAAGAACAAGCGCAUAUUUCCUGCUUCAAGAUAGGAGGUAGAUAAUGGUUGCACCAAGCACUUAAUUCCAACCUUGUACGAUGAUGAUUGGGAUGUUCUUAUAGCAUUUUCUUGGCUUGGUCAGAUUGGGUUUCGGACAAACCAUGUUAACAGCUGUGGUAGGGGUCCUCCUUUGGUGACCUAUAGGAGCAACUGCAACACCAUGUUAACAGCUGUGGAUGGAGCUAUCCAAUUGGUUCCGACCGCAGAAGUGUCGUCAAGAUCAUAGGAGUUUGCUUAAAAUUGUUCUUGUAGAUUAUUCUAGGAGUUUGCUUAAAUGGUUCCUUAAUAUUAUUCUAAGAGUUUGCUUAAAAUGGUUUAGUUUUUAUUGAUUUGGUGUUUAUUUUACAUUAAAAUAUUUUACUAUCUGUUGAAAUUUGUUUGAAUAAGUUUAUAAGUGGCAAUA